CCUACGGGAGGCAGCAGUGAGGAAUAUUGGUCAAUGGGCGCGAGCCUGAACCAGCCAAGUCGCGUGAGGGAAGACGGUCCUAUGGACUGUAAACCUCUUUUGUCGGGGAGCAAAAGACGCCACGCGUGGCGUUCCGAGAGUACCCGAAGAAAAAGCAUCGGCUAACUCCGUGCCAGCAGCCGCGGUAAUACGGAGGAUGCGAGCGUUAUCCGGAUUUAUUGGGUUUAAAGGGUGCGCAGGCGGAAGAUCAAGUCAGCGGGAAAAUUGAGAGGCUCAACCGCUGCGAGCCGUUGAAACUGGUUUUCUUGAGUGAGCGAGAGGUAUGCGGAAUGCGUGGUGUAGCGGUGAAAUGCAUAGAUAUCACGCAGAACUCCGAUUGCGAAGGCAGCAUACCGGCGCUCAACUGACGCUCAUGCACGAAAGUGUGGGUAUCGAACAGGAUUAGAUACCCCUGUAGUC
rnacentral:rRNA from 1 species